rnacentral:lncRNA from 1 species
UUUUCUUAUUCGGUUUCUAUUUCCUUAUUCGAUUUUCAUUUCCUUAUUCGGUUUCUAUUUCCUUUUUCGAUUUUCAUUUCCUUAUUCGUUUUCUAUUUCCUUUUUCGAUUUUCAAUUCCUUAUUCGGUUUUUAUUUCCUUUUUUGAUUUUCAUUUCCUUAUUCGGUUUCUUUUUCCUUAUUCGGUUUCUAUUUCCUUAUUCGAUUUUCAUUUCCUUAUUCGGUUUCUAUUUCCUUUUUCGAUUUUCAUUUCCUUAUUCGUUUUCUAUUUCCUUUUUCGAUUUUCAUUUCCUUAUUCGGUUUCUUUUUCCUUAUUCGGUUUCUAUUUCCUUAUUCGAUUUUCAUUUCCUUAUUCGGUUUCUUUUUCCUUUUUCAAUUUUCAUUUCCUUAUUCGGUUUCUAUUUCCUUAUUCGAUUUUCAUUUCCUUAUUCGGUUUCUCUUUUCCUUUUUCCUUUUUUCAUUUCCUUUUUAGUUUCUAUUUCCUUAUUUGAUUUUCAUUUCCUUUUUUCAUUUCUGUUUCCUUAUUCGGUUUCUUUUUCCUUAUUCGAAAUUCAUUUCCUUAUUUGGUUUCUGUUUCCGUAUUCGGUUUCUAUUUCAAUACGGUGGUCAGACGGUCCCGGAUCCCAGAAAAAUAUUUAAGUGGGAAAUAGCUUGUGUCAAUCCCUUUCAAAGGUAUUGACAUAAGCUAUUUCCCACUGAAAUAUUUCUUGGGGAUCCGGGCCCGUCUGGCCACCACAGAGCUCGGUUCAAAGGUGACCCUUAACGUAAUUUUCCGUAUUAACCACACAUUCGGUACUACUCGGCAUAUCCCUACAUCAAAGUUCUGAACCGGACCUAGCUCAUUUCAAAGGUAUUGACCUAGGCUAUUUCCCACUUAGAUAUUUUUCUGAGAUCCGGGCCCGUCUGGCCACCACAGAGGUUCAAAGUUGCUCUUUAACAUAAAUACAAUACCCAGAACCCAAGUUCCUUUUUAAUCACGUGUGUAUCUACAUCCAUUUGGUAUAAGUUUUAUAUAUUACAGAGUCUAUUAUUUCGUCAAAUUUAGGACAUUGAAAGACCGGGGGUCUCAACAUCAUUUAAGCGGUCCUAAGCGGUAGGUUUUCACUGUACAUUUCUUUUUUGGCUUUUCAUAAAUAUUUCUAUUUAUAUUUCUAAAUGUCACUGGAGUGAUCGGUAUUUGUUUUUGUUUUAUAUAUCAUAUAUUAAAUUACAUCUUUGAUGAAUCUUUGAUGUCGUUUUAUUGAUAAAAUUCUAUACUACAUAAAGACAAAUAUUCAACUUAUAUAAGGGCUUAAAUUCGAGGUCAACGAGAAUUAACGACAGCUUGAAGGGGUCAUAAAACGAUUUGCAGUAGUCUAUUCCAUUAUUGAAAUUAAGCUAUUUCUCAAUGUUCACGCGUAUUUCGAUAUUAAGUCCGUCGGUACUCCUCUAAUAUGCGUUGCGGAACAUAUUGACUAUAUACCUUUUGUUCCAUUCUUAAUAAGCAUUCGAGUGAGGUAUAAGCUAAGGUUUAUCUGUACUUACGGGCUGAAGGGUCACAGCAGUCCAUUUCAUUAUUCAAAAUAUC